rnacentral:rRNA from 1 species
UACGUAGGGUGCGAGCGUUGUCCGGAAUUAUUGGGCGUAAAGAGCUCGUAGGUGGUUUGUCGCGUUGUUCGUGAAAACUCACAGCUUAACUGUGGGCGUGCGGGCGAUACGGGCAGACUUGAGUACUGCAGGGGAGACUGGAAUUCCUGGUGUAGCGGUGGAAUGCGCAGAUAGUCAGGAGGAACACCGGUGGCGAAGGCGGGUCUCU